rnacentral:lncRNA from 1 species
AUUAAUCCCAUUAUAUCAUUGGUAAAAAGUAACAUUAGGCACAAGAAAACAAACUCGAAAUCACACACCAUACGACAGACAACAAAGUUGUGAAAGACUUAGAAAAUGAGUCCUUAAGACUCGAGGAAACCUCCAUCCAACACAAAGGACGGAAAAAUAUUAAUCCGAAACAGACCUCACCUUACUAGUAUAAUGGCCGGAAACCGACUUACAGACAAUAUCUUUCUUCUACCUGAAAUGUAGAACACGGCUAAGGGCGGCUCUCUUGAACUUGAAACCACCGAUGACGUCUUUCUUCUACCUGGAGGAAACAUGGAAGCAGAAGAUAUAUACAAGGUUGCUGGAGAAAAUGCAGCACAAGUUCCAAAACUUAGUCGACCGAUAACAAAGGGGUCGAGGGACCAAACGGGACAGCCAAACGUACCGUUGUGAAGAGGAGAGGGGGAUCUAUUGAACCCCUACCGUCAUGGUUAGAGAAGUCACCGGAACCAGCAGCUACAAAGGAGAGCAAAACGAGAGGGAAAAUGUUUCUGCCCAAC